rnacentral:misc_RNA from 1 species
UUUCGCCAAACCCUCCUCUGGGCCUUCUAGCUAUGGUGGCUGCUCCCUUUCUUUCAAUACUCCUUCUCCCCCGAAGAAGGUUUUAGGGAAAUUUGCUUUCCGGCUUCCAGUACUCGCUCCAGGUUCCAUUAGUUUAGCUAGUGAGGUAAGUCAGUACAGCCAGUCCAGUGAGAGCACCGUAGAUCAAACCUUCAGCUUUCGGUUGGUAAUCGGUUCGGCUUCUAUCUCUAGUUCAGGCGGUAAGCUAGUAAAAAAGGCCCCGUAAGGGCGGGUGGAUCACGGUAUACGGAAAGAAAGAAAGAUGGCAAUUAUUAGAGUGGAAAGUGAAUUUCCUCAUUUUGUAGCCAGUAGAAAUGAAAUUCAAAGCCUACCUUUGUCAGCUGUAAAAAUUGCUGGCUCGGGAGAGAGAGCUUACUCAAGCAGUAGGAGUAAGGGUACUAGAGGUCUUGCAAAAGGAGAAAUGUGACUGUGACAAGGAAUAAGAGUAAGUUCCCAGUGGUGAGGAAGGAUUAGGCUUUUCAGGUUAGGGUAAGGAGAGAAUAGGGUUGACAGUUACUCAUCUUGAGUAAGAUAGGGAAAAAGCACUUCUUUUCUUUCGGAGUGAAGAAGAUGGAUUGUAGAGGCCGGCGUCACAGAUAGCAUCUCGUACAGAUGGACAUAUAUUACUAAUACCAGAUAGAGAUAGAUAUUUCACUAGCACCAGUUCUUUACCUAUAGCUAUAAGCGGGGGAAGCUGAAGCUAGAUCUGUCACGUAUAAAGGAAAGAAGGACGUUAGAUACCUCUUUUUUGUAGAUAGGAGACCUCUUUACUCUCAUCAAUAGUGAUGUUGUGAUUGUCGUUAUUCUAUUCCGAUGGAUUGACUGGUUAUAAUCUUGACGCCCGAAAUAAAAGAAGAGUGGAAGUUGUCUUGAAAGUCAAUCUUGACGAAGAGAUGAAAGUCGGUUCUCAGUUCCCGAAUCAGCUGUUGUUUGUGAUCGCGCUGGUAGGAAUGCUGCUUUUGUGCCCGGCGAUGAUUUGGGUUUGGAAUGGCCCCUUCUUCUAUGCCCGCUAUGCCGUACCGGGGAUAGCUCUGAGUUGCCCGUCGAAGUUCUCUGACUCGUCCUUCGCUCUUCGACGCAGGAUUCGAAAUCGGCUGUUUGGCGAGGUGAUGUUGACUGACCCGUAAAAAAAAGAAAAAAAGAAAGAAUGGAAGUGUUGUGACAUUUGGUGGCGAGCCUUGAUGCACACCAUCGAUUGGACCUGGACCCCUGUACAUAAAGCCUUUUAGGGAUUCCCUCCCUGCCUCCUUCGUCUCACUGAGCUACCAAUCAUUCCCAAUCUCCAGCCCGAAAUAAAAUAGAAUCGAUAGCCUGGCAGCUAAUAAAAGAGUUGAAGGUUCGUCAAAGCCAUUCCUUGAGAUUGGAUUAGAGAAGCGUAGUACGUAUAAUCGAAACUCAUUGCAAGUUGUGAUAGCGGCCAAAGGAAGUGAUUCAUUUAUUUACCCACUUUCUUUCUCUAAACUACUUCAUAUCGUGAAAGCAUUCCAUACCAUACGUAGGUUCAUUCCAGAUGAAUAAAAGAAUUCAAAGCCGAAACCAAGCCAUUACUAAGAUCCGUUCCUAGCUGCAUGUCUUCUUUACAUGUCUUAGGGAAAGGGCUGUCCUUAUAAUCAAGCCGCUAUAAAGCCGGUUGACCGAUAGGGCCAGGAGCUGAAAGCCGCUUGAACGAGUUGACGAGGUUCAGUAGGUCCCACGAUGAAUGAAGAGGAGCGGAAAGGCUCGAGCCAAGAUCAUAGGAGUGAACCUUCUGAAUGGCCAGCUCGCUUUCAGGUUCAGGCAGUGACUCUCCCUUUAAGGCCGGUUUCAGGGGAAGAAUGGGAGACCUAGACUUGACACUUGUUUUCGUGUGCUUGAAUUCCCCUUGGCUUAACCUCUAUUCCCUCAACUCUUUGGCCUAUCCCUUUGGUUGAGCUGGAACGAGUGCUUCCCGAGGAAAGAAUGUUCUCGCUAAUCAAGCAAUUGCGUCAGAUCAGAUAGAUGCCUUAAUCGGACAAUAGCUUAUCUAAGAGCUGGUUUUGUUGUCUUUGGUAGUGCCACGAAACACACUAGGCUACCCUUCUCCGAAAGCUCCGCGUGACCACCUACCACUAGUCUUCAGCCGGAAGGGUUUAUUGCACAAAAACGCCGGGACGCAGGCUCCCGAAGAGGGAAGCCCAACGAAUGUCAGAUGCAAAGCCCCGCAC